AAGUGAUUCUGAAGCAAUGUUAAUCCAACAACAUGCACAACACUAGCUGCUGUUGCUCUGUGAAUCUUCAACUUUUGGACUUGCUCGCGGGACAAAAUCAUGCAAAAUUUUGGCAAUUCAGGAGGAGCGAUUUUCUUCGUUUAUAAAGUAAAAGGUAUGUUAUAGUAUCCCUUUACCUUAUAUUUAAAUUAUUGUAGGGUAGCUUGCAGUGACUUUAUUAUUUAACAAAGAUUGAAUGAACUUUAUGCUAUAAAAAGUUUAAUA